GAUUUCAACUGAAAAAGUUAUCAACAACAAAGUUUCAUAACUCAUCAAGAUCUAUAAAUUUUAUUNGGGUCGUUUUUUCAUCCGACAAAGUGAUAUUAACUUUGUUCACAAAAUUUACAUCUAUGUCAUCUGGUUCUAUAGACUAUAAGUGAGAUAUGUAAACUUUAUGAACAAUGUUACUAUCACUUUCUCGGAUGAAGAAAUGACCAAAAUAAAAGUUCUAUGUCUUGAUGAGAUCUACAACUUUUAUGUUCAUGACUUUUUUAGCUGAAAUU
rnacentral:pre_miRNA from 1 species